ACAUGUAACAGGCCCAGGUUCAUUGCACGGGGGCCUCCCUGUACACACACCAUGCGUGUGCGCCUGCCUGUGAUCCAGGGUGACCCAGGCUGCCUGAGCCUUGGCAUAGAUUUCUGCAUGAAGAUCCCAUGCACAUGACUUCUAGAAGAUAAAAGAAAACGUGUUGCUGUGUUAUUUGGGGCAAUUCAGAUUGAACUGUGACCAUCCAGCCCAUUGGAAGCCCUCUCUGAUGGAGUAUAGAUGGGGGGAUGCAGAGCCAGGUAUGGAGUAGCAUCAGGAGAAGCAGAUGCAGAGACCAGUAGGUGGGAGCAGGAGAUGUUCAGGGCUGCCCUGAUACUGGAUCCCUGCCAGCACAGCACCCUGAGCCAUAGU